GUGUUGUAUGAAAGGAGAGAAAGUUAGCAGUCCCCUUGAUGAGGAUGGAAGAGUCCCUUGUGACCUAUACAACCUGCAUACAGUUAAGGCACUGUCUCCUACUUUGUGGCAUCUAACCAUAUUUUC